GGAGAGUGGUGGCUAGAGCGUUCCGAAGGCUUUCGGAAAGGCCACCGGUUCGAAUCCGGUAUUCUCCA
rnacentral:tRNA from 1 species